CCGCGGUAAUUCCAGCUCCAAUGGCGUAUGUUAAAGUUGCUGCAGUUAAAAAGCUCGUAGUUGAGUUUCGGAACUUAUUAAUGUUGAUCACUUGAAUAUAAAAGAGGGUGUAUUGGAUUCUUUGUUUCUAUUGAUUUCGAAUAAAUUUUUCUUUUUAUAUCUUUCAUUCAUUACAAAUGUUUGAUUGGUAUAAAAGAAUAAUCGAAAUCAUUUUACUUUGAAAAAAUUAGAGUGUUCAAAGCAGGCGUAUCUAACGACCUGAAUAUAUUAGCAUGGGAUAAUAGAAGAGGGUUUUGCAUGAUUUCAGCAGGUUCUCCCAUGUAAAGCACAUGAUUGAUAGGGACAGUUGGGGUCGCUCGUAUUGUGUCGUCAGAGGUGAAAUUCUAGGAUUGUCACAAGACGAACUAAUGCGAAAGCAUUCGACAAGGAUGUUUUCAUUAGUCAAGAACGAAAGUUGGGGGAUUUAAGUAUAUAUAUCUUUGGUUCCCAGUAGCUAACCGGGAACGGUUUGGCUAGUUCCAUGGGGUGGUUGGAGCGACACCAUCAAAUUGUGGGGAAGUUCUAAAACCCAUAUCUACCGCGAUCGUAGGAAACUAACGAUGCAGCAGGUGGUUUAAUGGCCCCUGGAUGGUAAAAAUGGUAUGAGAUGAGUUUCUUUUUUUAAGGAAACAAAAUGAAUAAUCCGCAGCCAAGUCCUAAUGGGAUAGGUCUAGUAGUCUAAAAAAAAAAAGACAAAAAACUUAUCUACGGAUGCAGUUCACAGACUAAAUGGAGAAAUCACAAGUAUUUGCGCUCCGGGGGAGUAUGGUCGCAAGGCUGAAACUUAAAGGAAUUGACGGAAGGGCACCACCAGGAGUGGAACCUGCGGUUUAAUUCGAAUUAGACCGUAAAAGUAGAUUAGUAAUAACCCGCUAGUCACAGUAAUAGGUGGCAACACUAACAAAUUGCGGGAACACCCUAAAGCUCUAUCUACCGCGGUCUUACAGAAACGUAUAGAUGUAGCAGGUGGUAUAAUGACCACUGGAUGGUAAUAAUGGUAGAGAUAUCUUAGAUGGGCAAUCCGCAGCCAAGUCCUGAGGAAUUUAUACGAUUCUAUGGAUGCAGUUCACAGACUAAAUGUUAGUGGGCAAUAUCGGAUCUCAAGAUAUUGUUUAAGAUAUAGUCGGAUCGUGUACUAAAGUAUAUAUCUGGGGAGGAUUUUACAUCAUCUAUUACAAAAAAUGAUGGUUAGGAGAGCCUCGGAUUAUGAUAAAUCGUUUUAUCAUAGAAUAUUUCGUAAUUCGACUCAACCCGGGAAAACUUACCAGGUCCAGACACAGUAAGGAUUGACAGAUUGAUAGCUCUUUCUUGAUUUUGUGUAAAGUGGUGCAUGGCCGUUUUUAGUUGGUGGAUUGAUUUGUCUGGUUAAUUCCGUUAACGAACGAGACCUUAACCUAUUAAAUAUGUUAUGUUAAAUCUUUAAUCGUAAUAACGGUUAAUAUUUAAUAUCAAACUUCUUAGAGGGACUCUUCACAUCUAGUGAAUGGAAGAUUGAGGCAACAACAGGUCUGUGAUGCCCUUCGAUGUUCUGGGAUACACGCGGGUUACAAUGAAACAGGCAUCGAGUACACCUAUUCUGAAGAGAUUAGGUAAUCUUUUUAAAAUGGUACCGUGAUCGGGCUAGAUCAUUGUAAUUAUUGAUCUUCAACGAGGAAUUCCCAGUAAGUGCAGGUCAUCAACCUGCGUUGAUUGCGUUCCUGCCCUUUGUACACACCGCCCGUCA
rnacentral:rRNA from 1 species